rnacentral:rRNA from 1 species
UACGUAGGGAGCAAGCGUUAUCCGGAAUUAUUGGGUGUAAAGGGUGCGUAGACGGGAUAACAAGUUGGUUGUGAAACCCCUCGGCUCAACUGAGGAACUGCAACCAAAACUAUUAUUCUUGAGUGCAGGAGAGGAAAGUGGAAUUCCUAGUGUAGCGGUGAAAUGCGUAGAUAUUAGGAGGAACACCAGUGGCGAAGGCGGCCUGCUGGGCUUUUACUGACGCUGAGGCUCGAAAGUGUGGGGAGCAAACAGG